AUAUAUCCAGGAAUGAGACCACAGAGAAGUCCAGGAUCAAACUGUGGAUGUUCACAGGAGGAACUCGGAUGUUGGCAGGAAGUUCUACAUUCCAGUUCACCUGGACUGGAAGAUCUGAAUAGUCUGUGGGCUUGUCUAGAUCCUCCAUGUUGCUUUCAUCCUCUGACUCUUCAAUGGGCAUUGAGCAUGUGGCCUGUAGUCCAUUCUAUAACCGAAAGAAAUGUGAUGUAUAUCUAAAUGAUAAGAUUAAGAUAUCAUUUAGGUAUCUAAGAUGUACAGAUUCUCAGAGGAUUAAAGCCCACCUGCCACAAAGUGCACAGUUAAUUGGAUCUGUCAGCACUUACAACUGAGCCCUGAAGACCACAGUGAGGA